rfam:Schistosoma curassoni strain Dakar, Senegal genome assembly, scaffold: SCTD_scaffold0004315
GCACUGCUGAGGAGUCCCACAAUAGGACGAAACGCUCAUCCAGUGC